AUAAAAGGGCUGCCACGCCGGCUAACGGGGCGCCUUCCUGAGCAAACAAGCUGUCUGUGUCUGGUUCCUUCCCGCAUCUGGUGACCCCGACGUGAUUCCAGCCCUCCGUACCCACCGGCCGGCCGAGCCGUGGUGCACCGCAGUGCGUCUUCGCACUCCCUCGUGAGUAUGGGGGGGGAUUUGUCCGUGCAACAGAAGGCUCAUACGACAGAGCUGGUUCAAGUACUCAAGGUAACCGGUCGCACGACAGCAUCACAGCGACAUGUGGAGGAAUUGCUCCAUGUGAUAGAGGUUAAAUGCCCUUGGUACCCCGAGAAAGGAACUCUCGAGGUUUCUGACUGGCAAAAUGUGGGCGAACGGCUCCUAAGGGAGCCUCGAGCGCCCAUCCGACACAUCUUGCUGUGGCAACAUUGUGCAGAGGCAAUCGGGCGUUUGCGAAAGGAGGCGCCCCCGCUUGCCUCUCCCACCCCUACCCCACCUCCCUCAUAUGUCACGGAGGUUGAAACCCCAAGUCCUGCACUCAGGGCGACACCCCCUAGUCUAGCCCCCUCUGAGUCCUUGCUGUCGUCGCCCUCCCCCUUUUGCCCCCUCCGGCUCCGAGCGCAGUACAGGCUGCUUUCGGCCCCAGCUGGCUGUGAAGGAAAAAAUAUAGACAGAGGCGGAGCAAAAGGAAAUACAAGUUACAGAACUGAAAUUACGUUUGCAAAGCUUAACUGUCCAGUAAGACCCAACAGUGUGCCUUUGUGACCCUGGAGUCGGCUGCCACAGGCAGCCGACCUGGACUGGAAUCUCUGAAAGAGACGCCGCAGGAGAUUCCAGGGUGUAAGAGAACAGCCCUCCCAAGAGCAGAAGCAUGUUGGAAAUUCUGGACAAGCUGUAUACAGGAUAAUCUCCCUUCCACCUCUCCCCCUCCUCUGAACAUUAUACACAGAAGUGGCCAGUCGGGACGUACCUGUAUAAUCAGAGAAAACUGAUGCCAGCUGAACAGCAUUCAACGUAUCAUGCAUUUACUGGCACAACAGGAAUUAUGUUUUGUGUUCUAUGUCCUGUCUUGUGGUGUUUGUCUCGUGGCCAAAAUUGUUGUGUUUAAUAUUUUUAUAGGAUAGUCUAGUUAAAAUUAAAUAGAAGGGUUAAAUGCAGAUACUUGUUUUAUUCAACUUUGGAAUACAAGGUGUUUGGAUAAAUCAGGAGAAUGUGAUACACUAAAGUCUAAUGCAUUUGCUUAAGUAAGAAAAAGAAGCUUCAUUGGCCAAAUUGUUAAUUAAAGAAAUUGUUGUUAUAAUUUGCAUGCCAACGGUCUUUGAAAGCAAAGACAUGAAAAGUUAACCCACUCCCCAUAUUGUACAUGGGAUCUUUCUGGCUACCUCAAAUUUCUAGCCAGAGGGCUGGGGAUGGUGGAAGGCUAUUGGACUAGAGGUUGAAUUGAAUGAACUCCUCAAAGUGGGUGUGCUUGUUUUAGCUCGUUGCUCCAAAGUUCUGUAAUAAGGUUAUUUUAGUAAAAGAGUAUGUGUGACAUAUAUUAAAUAAUAAGACUAAUGUACUGUAUAAUGGCAAUGUUUACGUGUUCGUUGUUGGGAAAAGGUGUAUAAGUGAAGAGUGAAAGUUUCCUUUGCAGGUUAAAGGAAGCCAAAAA